GUUCCAAUCUUGCAACCGCACAGUUAACUAGUCCAACGCUCUAACCAUUGCACUCCACAAGUAGCCUGCCUGUUACGCGAAUGCAGUAGAAGCCAAGAUCCUCAAAAAGUUCUACAGCUGCACCAUCGACAGCAUCCUGACCGGUUGCAUCAACGCCUAGUAUGGCAACAGCUCGGCAUCCAAGCUUCCUGCCAUUCAGGACCUAUAUACGGUGUCAGAAGGUCCAAAACAUGUUCGAAGACUCCAGUCACCCAAGUCAUAGACUGUUCUCUCUGCUACCACACGGCAAGCGGUACUGGAGCGGCAAGUCUAGGUCCAAAAGCUUCCUUGACAACUUCUACCCCCAAGCCAUGCUGAACAAUUAAUCAAAUGGCCACCCGGACUAUUUACGUUGACCCCCCCCCCGUUGAUCCUUGUUUUUAGACUACUGCUACUCACGGUUUAUUAUCUAUGCAUAGUCCCUUUGCCCCUACCUACAUGUACAAAUGACCUCGGCUUACCUGCACCCCCGCACAUUGAUGCCCCCUGUAUAUUGCCUCGGUAUUGUUAUUUUAUUGUGUUACUUUUAAUAUAUUUUUUACUUUAGUUUAUUUAGUAAAUACUUUCUUAACUCUAUUUCUUGAACUGCAUUGUUGGUUAAGGGUUUGUAAAGUAAGCAUCUCACGGUAAGGUACCUGUUGUAUUUGGCGCAUGUGACAAAUCAAAUUUAAUUAGAUUUGAAAUCAUGGCCAAUCAAUUGAAUUUACCACUGGUGGACUCCAAUCAAGUUGUAGAAACAUCUCAAGGAUGAUCAAUGGAAACAGGAUGCACCUGAGCUCAAUUUUUUUGUCUCAUAGCAAAGGGUCUGAAUAAUUAUGUUUUAACCUGUUUUCGCUUUAUCGUUAUGGGGUAUUGUGUAUAGAUUGAGGGGGAAAAAAUAUUUGAUGAAUUUUAGAAUAAGGCUAUAACGUAACAAAAUGUGGGAAAAGUAAAGGGGUCUAAAUACAUUCUGAAUGCACUGUAUGUACAGUGAGUUGUCCCUCAGGUCAGUUGUCUUGGGCCAUUACUAUUCUCUAAUUUUACAAAUGAUUUGCCACUGGUCUUACACAAAGCUAGAAUGACUAUGUAUGCGGAUGAUUCUACACUCUACAUGUCAGCACCCAAAGCCAGUGAGAUCACUGACAUUCUAAAUAACGAGUCAUUCAGUAUCAGAAUGGAUUAUUAAUAAUGAACUGGUCUUAAAUGCAUCUAAAACUGAAAUCUUUGUGUGUGGUUCAAAACAUCCUCCAAGACCUAAACAUCAACUGGAUGUGUGUAUAAAGGGUGUGACUAGGUGACCAUAUUACCGCCACACCGGUGGUCAUGAAGGAAGUCAAAUUCCACAUGACCAUUUAGUCACAUAAUUAAGCUUCUCCAAACUCUGAUGCUGCUGGUCAUUAGUAGCCUACCAAACUAGCUAACUACCUGGUACUCAGCACCCUAAUCACUCUGACAUCAAUGAGAAUGCAUUCGAAAAUCUAAUCAAACACUCAUGUUGUGCAACAUUUCUAUAGGCUAUGCAAUUGCGAGAGAAAACAGAGUGAUGGCCGCUAAUAAAAAAACAAGCAUCCCAUCAGCUUUCUAUAGGCUAGGCCUACUAUAUUUAUUUCUCAACUUUCCUAAUAUUAAACAGGAUCGGUGGGUCCCCCGUAGGACGGUUGAGCUAACGUAGGCUAAUGUGAUUAGCAUUAAGUAACAAGAACAUUUCCCAGGACAUAGACAUAUCUGAUCUUGGCCGAAAGCUUAAAAUCUUGUUAAUUUGACUGCACUGUCCAAUUUACAGUAGCUAUCACAGUGAAAGAAUACCAUGCAUGCUAUUGUUUGAGGAGAGUGCACAGUUAUGAACUUGAAAAUGUAUUAAGAAACCAAUUAGGCACAUUUGGGCAGUCUUGAUACAACAUUUUGAACAGAAAUGCAAUGAUUCAUUGGAUCAGUCUAAAACGUUGCGCAUACACUGCUGCCAUCUAGUGGCCAAAAUCUAAAUUGUGCCUGGGCUGGAAUAAUACAUUUUGACCUUUCUCUUGCUGUCACGCCUUGGUCAUUGUAUUUUGUGUUUUGUUAAUAGUUUGGGUAGGCCAGGGUGUGACAUGGGUAUAUAUGUUGUGUUUCGUAUUGGGGUUUGUAUUAUUUGGGAUUGCGGCUGAUUAGGGGUGUGGUAUAGGUUUGGCUGCCUGAGGCGGUUCUCAAUGAGAGUCAGGUGCUUCUCUUUGUCUCUGAUUGGGAACCGUAUUUAGGUAGCUUGAGUUCGCGUUGUAUUUCGUGGGUGAUUGUACCUGUCUUUGUGUAUUCACCAGAUAGGCUGUAUAGUUUCACGGUCCGUUUGUUGUUUUGUAUUCUCACAGUUAUUUCAUGUAUCGCUAUUUCCUUUAUUAAAGCACAUGAGUAACCUA